rnacentral:rRNA from 1 species
CCUACGGGAGGCAGCAGUGGGGAAUAUUGCACAAUGGGGGAAACCCUGAUCCAGCCACGCCGCGUGUGGGCAGACGGUCUUAGGAUUGUAAACCACUGUUCUUGGUGAAGUUAAUGACGGUAACCAUGGAGCAAUCUCCGGCUAACUACGUGCCAGCAGCCGCGGCAAUACGUAGGGAGCAAGCGUUGUCCGGAUGUACUGGGUGUAAAGGGUGCGUAGGCGGUCUUGCAAGUCAGACGUGAAAACCACAGGCUCAACCUGUGGAUUGGGUUUGAGACUGUGGGGCUUGAGUGAAGUAGAGGUAGGCGGAAGUCCCGGUGUAGCGGUGAAAUGCGUAGAGAUCGGGAGGAACACCAGUGGCGAAGGCGGCCUACUGGGCUUUAACUGACGCUGAGGCACGAAAGCAUGGGUAGCAAACAGGAUUAGAUACCCGAGUAGUC